CUGUUUGCAUUUCCUCCGGGGAAGGCACUUUAGAAGCAGUGUUCUAAGUCGUGUUGAGAAACUCGCAAGAGGUUAAUGAAGAGCCACUGAAGCGUGCAUUGGAGGAGGACGACGCUGCAGCCUAGUUCCAUUAGGACUUUCUCAUUUGAACCUACGUUGUUUUUCUAAAUUAUGGAAGUAUUUCGAAAAUGAUUGUAAUUUUUAAGACUUUAUUUAAAAAGUUUAAAUUUUAA